ensembl:lncRNA UCA1 urothelial cancer associated 1
ACCCGCCGGCAUCAUGAGCCAGACCUCCAAGAAGGCAUCAGGGCAGUUCCCUGAGAGGAUCCUUGAUGGGAAUACCAGACAGGCUCCCCAGAUCUCCUCGGCUUAGUGGCUGAAGACUGAUGCUGCCCGAUCGCCUCAGAAGCCCCUUGGACCAUCACAGAUGCCGAGCUUCGGGUAACUCUUACGGUGGAGGAUUCCCAGCCAUAUGAAGACACCCUAGCUGGACGAUCAGUCCUUGUCAAAAGUCUGACCCCUCAAACUCUACAGCCUCAAUGGACCAGACCCUACCCGGUCAUUUAUAGCACACCAACUGCCGUCCAUCUGCAGGACCCUCUCCAUUGGGUUCACCAUUCCAGAAUAAAGCCAUGCCCAUCAGACAGCCAGCUUGAUCUCUCCUCUUCCUCCUGGAAGCCACAAGAUUAGGCCGAGAGCCGAUCAGACAAACAACCUACAACCCUUAAGCUCCUGGCAGCGCCCAGCCAAGGCCAUGCUUCCUUGCAACACUCCUUCCAAAUGGCCAUCCCAGCAUGCUUCCAAGCAGGCUUCAUCCGUUCCUCUGGACCCUCAUCUCUUAAGACCUGCCGCCUAUAAAAAGGAUUAUAUCUUGAGACCCUAUCCUCUAAAAUUUUUUCCACACCCAAAACAAAAAAUCUCUGGGUCAAAAGUCUAAAACGCUUAGGCUGGCAACCAUCAGAUCCUUGCCCAUGGUGUCCUCAAGCCUACUCUCAUGAAAUGGACAACAGUACACGCAUAUGGGGCCAGUUCCACAUAUUUGGCAACCAGACCAGCAUCCAGGACAACACAAAGUAUGUUGUUUGUUGUUAGAGGGCUUGGGACAUUUCACUCUUUGCCAGCCUCAGCUUAAUCCAGGAGACAAAGAUUAUUUUCCUUAUUAUCUCUUCUGCAUAGGAUCUGCAAUCAGAACUAUUGAACUUCUCCAUUCAGACCGCCACUCACACCUAUGGGAAAAGGGUAAUGUAUCAUCGGCUUAGCAACAGGGAAUACUAUUCGUAUGAUGGAAAAUGGGGACAAAAGGCUUUGGUACAUAAAACAUUAUUCCUUCCUUGGCCUAAAAACUCAUCGCCACCUACAUUAAAGCUAAUAUGCCUGA